rnacentral:tRNA from 1 species
GGAAGCGUGGCCGAGUGGUUGAAGGCGCACGACUCGAAAUCGUGUUUGGGUAAAACCAACGGAGGUUCGAAUCCUCUCGCUUCCGCCA